GACUCACUGAGGCUCUAUCGCAGCAGGUUCAAUCCUGGAUAACUCACAGCAGUGCUUUUGUUCCAUUCCUUUGCAAUGAGUAAUUCAAGUUGAUUAUCUGUCAUUUGCAACAGUGAAUGAUGAGCCUAACACUGGAAUAACAUUAUAAGAUUCAAAUACUGAACUCCUGGCAUCUCAUCAGGACAUUCCAUUUGACUUUACCUGGAAAUGGAGGAACGCUUGCAAAGAGAAAAUGGAACCUGUGCAUCAGAACACCGGCUCAGAAGCAGAUCAAGGAUGAGUACUUUGAGAAACACAGGUACCUUUAAGUAUUCCAUAUCAAUGACAGAAUCACUGGCUGCCCGGAGCAGAGAGGGCCACUGUGGAGCUGUCACUUCUUCAAUCACUUGUGUUUCAACUUUGAUUCAUUCCUACACUCACCAGUGGGGAGUUGUGAAGUGUGCUGCCUUCUUAUCUGCACAAAUUAAAAUGGAUCCUGCAGCAUGGAAAGGAGAAGGAAGAAAUGUUAGAAGAGAAAAGGGAACUCGCCCAGCAUGGAUUCAAAGGCAGUGGCAGAAGAUGUCGAGUGAAGAUAUGUUUGACUAUUUGACGUACAGAGCAAAAGGAUCCACUUGA
rnacentral:lncRNA from 1 species